AUGAAAAUUUUAUGCUGGAACUGUCGUGGGAUAGGCGAUCCCGUGACAGUUCGUGAAUUACGUGAUCUCGUGGAGAUCAGUUCGCCUUCUAUCUUGUGUUUAGUUGAAACCCAGUUACAGAAGGGUCGUGUCGAAGGUUUACGUACGUCGUUAGGGUAUGAUUUCAGCUUUGGUGUCGGUAGUCGUGGUCGUAGUGGAGGUCUUUGUAUUUUUUGGAAAAACUCUCUGGAUGUUUCAAUAAAGAACUAUUCGGAGUAUCACGUGGAUGCCUGGGUCACUGAACCGGGUAAGGAGCAAUGGAGAUUGACGUGUUUCUAUGGUGAAGCUACCAGGAGCCUUCGGUAUAAAACUUGGAACACUAUGAAGCGGUUGAGGGGAGAGAGUACACUCCCAUGGAUGUGCAUUGGGGACUUUAAUGAGAUAUUGCGGCCCGAAGAGCAGCAUGGAUCAAAUGAUCGUGAUAGCUCGCAGAUUGAUGCGUUCAGAGAAGCCAUUGAUAUCUGCGGCCUAGCCGACCUGGGGUAUCGGGGUUGGAUUGGACGUGGGAGAAGAAGGUUGCCGGAGGGAGCUACUGUCGCGUUCGCUUGGAUAGAGUUCUGGCCUCACCGUGUUGGUCUGCUCUGUUUCCCUUCGCAUAUGUCGAACACCUCACAGCUGCAAAGUCGGAUCACUGCCCAAUUCUUCUGGAGACCGAGCUGA
rnacentral:rRNA from 1 species